rnacentral:lncRNA from 1 species
CUAUGGUGUAGUCAUAUCCUCGUAGAAACGGAGCAGCCCACUUGGCGAUGGCUUUUUCCAGUGUGUACAAUGGCGAUGACAUUUUUUCAACCGUAGGUCGUAUCCAAUCAGGGUUUUGUGUUUUUAUAUAGCCAAAGAAGGCAGGGAGCAAAUGGGGCCGAGACCUCUUAAAACUGCCAUUAUGUCGGGAAUACGGGUGAUCUUCGUAUUUUUCUCACGGCCCUAGCCAACGUGUCCGUCGGAUUAGACCUUAUAACUUUGGAAUUUGAUUGUACAAUGAAGUCGUUUAGGAGAUUAUUAUACUUGUCAUGCUCUAUAAAGAUCAUUUUUCGGGAUUUGUCAUCUUUAGUACAUACAAUCUGCUCACUAGUCAUUCACUCUCGAGCAUAUGAUAUACUGGCUUUUUGUCUAGCAAAUGCACGUGGGAAUCGUCUUCUGACCAUCUCCAUGUGUCUAACAACCUCCCAGCAUACCUUCUCUUUAUGAAUAUCUUCCACUGAAUAAAUAGCUCUGUCUAUUUCCUGCACAAUUUGGUGUAAGUCGGGUG